GACGUAGGGCGCGAGCGUUGUCCGGAUUUAUUGGGCGUAAAGAGCUCGUAGGCGGCUUGUCGCGUCGACUGUGAAAUCCCGCGGCUCAACUGCGGGUCUGCAGUCGAUACGGGCAGGCUAGAGUUCGGUAGGGGAGACUGGAAUUCCUGGUGUAGCGGUGAAAUGCGUAGAUAUCAAGAGGAACACCUGAGGCGAAGGCGGGUUGCUAGGCUGACACUGACGCUGAGUGCGCGAAAGCCAGGGGAGCAAACGGG
rnacentral:rRNA from 1 species